UUCAAUGAUGAUUUAUUCUACUUUAUCACGACGGUCAACGUAGCUUAGGCUUUGACGACCACAGCCUUUGACAGGGCUUAGAUCUGAAC
rnacentral:snoRNA from 1 species